CAGUAGCCGCGGGAAUACGUAGGGUGCGAGCGUUAAUCGGAAUUACUGGGCGUAAAGCGUGCGCAGGCGGUUAUAUAAGACAGAUGUGAAAUCCCCGGGCUCAACCUGGGACCUGCAUUUGUGACUGUAUAGCUAGAGUACGGUAGAGGGGGAUGGAAUUCCGCGUGUAGCAGUGAAAUGCGUAGAUAUGCGGAGGAACACCGAUGGCGAAGGCAAUCCCCUGGACCUGUACUGACACUCAUGCACGAAAGCGUGGGGAGCAAACAGGAUUAGAUACCCCUGUAGUCCCUGUCUCUUAUAC
rnacentral:rRNA from 1 species